rnacentral:tRNA from 1 species
GGUUGCGGCUCAGCGGUGGAGCGCUCGCCUAGCACGUUCGAGGACCUGGGUUCGAUCCUCAGCACCA